rnacentral:lncRNA from 1 species
ACUGCAUCACUUCCAGGAUUAUAGAAGGAAGCUAGAGACAUCCUUGUACCAUCUGUCUGAGCCACAACUCUGUGCUCAACGCUCUUGUACUUGCCAUUGGUAAUCACCUAUAUAUUUUCAUUUUUUUUGUAUUAUAAUUAGCAAUAAAUUAAUUGUGAUUAGUCAAAUUAAUAAGAUAAUUAAUGGGUAUUACCUCAAGCUGGUCUCCAAUGUUAACAACAAUGGAGUGGCGCAUAGGUGGCACAUCAAUCCACUGGUCAUCUUUGAGAAGCUGAAGACCACUGACCUUAUCAUCUUGAAACAACAAGAUAAUGCCACCAGCGUCUGUGUGGGCUCU